AGAUUGAACGCUGGCGGCAGGCCUAACACAUGCAAGUCGAGCGGUAGAGAGGUGCUUGCAUCUCUUGAGAGCGGCGGACGGGUGAGUAAUGCCUAGGAAUCUGCCUAGUGGUGGGGGAUAACGUUCGGAAACGGACGCUAAUACCGCAUACGUCCUACGGGAGAAAGCGGGGGACCUUCGGGCCUCGCGCCAUUAGAUGAGCCUAGGUCGGAUUAGCUAGUUGGUGAGUAAGUGCUCACAAGCGACGAUCGUAACUGUCUGAGAGGAUGAUCAGUCACACUGGAACUGAGACACCGGUCCCAAGACCUCCAACGGGAGGCAAGCAGUAGGGGAA
rnacentral:rRNA from 1 species